CGUUCAACCUCACCCUUCCUUGUUUUCAUCAGCCUAUAUACCGCCGUCGUCAGCUUACCCUGUGAAGGCCCUAUAGUAAGCAAAAUUAGCAUAGCUCAGUACGUCAGGUCGAGGUGUAGCGCAUGGAAAGGGAACAGAUGGGCUACAUUCUCUAAUUUUAGUGAAUACGAAUUAUGUAUUGAAACAUAUAUAUGAAGGAGGAUUUAGUAGUAAGCCAGAAGUAGAGUGUCUCGCUGAAAUCGGCCCUAAAGCGUGCACACACCGCCCGUCACUCUCCCCAAACCUGUAGAAACACCUAUAUAUAUAUAAACCCUUAUAAUUUUAAAGGGGAGGCAAGUCGUAACAUGGUAAGCGUACCGGAAGGUGUGCUUGGGUAAAU
rnacentral:rRNA from 1 species